UGUUGUGUAUCUGUUAGCAUCAUUUGCUC
rnacentral:piRNA from 1 species